GACGAACGCUGGCGGCGUGCUUAACACAUGCAAGUCGUACGGUAAGGCCCUUUCGGGGGUACACGAGUGGCGAACGGGUGAGUAACACGUGAGUAACCUGCCCACAACUUUGGGAUAACGCUAGGAAACUGGUGCUAAUACUGGAUAUGUGCUCCUGCUGCAUGGUGGGGGUUGGAAAGCUCCGGCGGUUGUGGAUGGACUCGCGGCCUAUCAGCUUGUUGGUGGGGUAGUGGCCUACCAAGGCGGCGACGGGUAGCCGGCCUGAGAGGGUAACCGGCCACAUUGGGACUGAGAUACGGCCCAGACUCCUACGGGAGGCAGCAGUGGGGAAUAUUGCACAAUGGGCGCAAGCCUGAUGCAGCAACGCCGCGUGCGGGAUGACGGCCUUCGGGUUGUAAACCGCUUUCAGCAGGGACGAAGCUUUUUGUGACGGUACCUGCAGAAGAAGCACCGGCUAACUACGUG
rnacentral:rRNA from 1 species